rnacentral:rRNA from 1 species
GACGAACCGAGCGAACGUUGUUCGGAAUCACUGGGCUUAAAGGGUGCGUAGGCGGGCUGCCAAGUUUGAGGUGAAAUCCUCCGGCUCAACCGGGGAAGUGCCUUGAAUACUGGCGGUCUGGAGGGAGGUAGGGGCGUGCGGAACUAACGGUGGAGCGGUGAAAUGCGUUGAUAUCGUUAGGAACUCCGGUGGCGAAGGCGGCACGCUAGACCUCUUCUGACGCUGAGGAGCGAAAGCAUGGGGAGCGAACAGG